rnacentral:rRNA from 1 species
UACGUAGGGGGCUAGCGUUACUCGGAAUUACUGGGCGUAAAGCGUGCGUAGGUGGUUUGUUAAGUCUGUUGUGAAAGCCCCGGGCUCAACCUGGGAAUGGCAAUGGAUACUGGCAAGCUAGAGUGCGGUAGAGGGUAGUGGAAUUCCCGGUGUAGCGGUGAAAUGCGUAGAGAUCGGGAGGAACACCAGUGGCGAAGGCGGCUACCUGGACCAGCACUGACACUGAGGCACGAAAGCGUGGGGAGCAAACAGG